UACGAAGGGUGCAAGCGUUACUCGGAAUUACUGGGCGUAAAGCGUGCGUAGGUGGUUUGUUAAGUCUGUUGUGAAAGCCCCGGGCUCAACCUGGGAAUGGCAAUGGAUACUGGCAAGCUAGAGUGCGGUAGAGGGUAGUGGAAUUCCCGGUGUAGCGGUGAAAUGCGUAGAGUUCGGGAGGAACACCAGUGGCGAAGGCGGCUACCUGGACCAGCACUGACACUGAGGCACGAAAGCGUGGGGAGCAAACAGG
rnacentral:rRNA from 1 species